GAUGAACGCUGGCGGCGUGCCUAAUACAUGCAAGUCGAGCGAACAGACGAGGAGCUUGCUCCUCUGACGUUAGCGGCGGACGGGUGAGUAACACGUGGAUAACCUACUUAUCAUACUGGGAUAACUUCGGGAAACCGGAGCUAAUACCGGAUAAUAUAUUGAACCGCAUGGUUCAAUAGUGAAAGACGGUUUUGCUGUCACUUCUCGAUGGAUCUGCGCCGCAUUAGCUAGUUGGGAAGGUAACGGCUUACCAAGGCAACGAUGCGUAGCCGACCUGAGAGGGUGAUCGGCCACACUGGAACUGAGACACGGUCCAGGCGCCUACGGGAGGCAGCAGUAGGGAAUCUUCCGCAAUAGGCGAAAGCUUGACGGAGCAACGCCGCGUGAGUGAUGAAAGUCUUCGGAUCGUAAAACUCUGUUAUUAGGGAAGAACAAAUGUGUAAGUAACUAUGCAUGUCUUGACGGUACCUAAUCAGGAAGCCACGGCUAACUACGUG
rnacentral:rRNA from 1 species